rnacentral:tRNA from 1 species
GUUUUCGUGGUGUAAUGGUCAGCACACUCUGCGUAUAUUCGAGAGGCCCAGGUUCGAGUCCUGGUGAGAAUA